ensembl:lncRNA
ACCUGAGGUCUGUUGCCUUUAUUUUUACCCUAAUCUUGGCACAUUUAGUAGAACAUCAGAUUUCAUGCCAGGUUCUUGAAAAGGAUUUUUUUUUGCAAAGGGCUAUAGUGAGGGUGAGGAGAAGGCUACAUUUCACAUAUGCCAUGUAUACACACAGACACACACACACACACACACUCGUAUUAUGAAUGUGUCGUUUUUUUCUUUCUUUUUUGGCCUCUCCCAUGGCAUAUGGAGUUCCCAGGUCAGGGAUGGGAAUCUGAGCCAGAACGGUGGUCUACGCCACAGAUGCAGCAAUGCCAUUUCCUCAACCCACUGCGCUGGACCUAGGAUCGAACCUGCACCUCCAGAGACAAGCCAAAACAUUAACCCACUGCACCACAGCAGGAACUCUAAUGGGUCAUUUUUAAUAUGAAAAAAUUGAUCAGAUUAAUGAUUCUCAACUUUUUUGGUGAGCUCUGCUACAAAGUAAAAGGUGCCUGACAUACUUCUUAGAAAGGAGAAGGUAAUAUAUUUCCUCUCACAUAUUUCAAGAACAAACAUGUAAUACAGAUACAGGUUAUAAAUGGCCUAAUCUUGAAUGGUGGGUCAUCCUUUUUUUUCCUUUUGCUCCUCUUAUUUAGUCAUCAAAACCUAUCCUAUCUACCUCAGAAUUACAUUUGUAAGUUAAAAAUCCAUCAGGUCUCUACUUCUAGUCUUAUCCUUUUCAGUCCUUGACACUGGUGCGAUUACAUCAGGAGGCAGUUGAGCUCUGGAGUCAAACUGCUUGGGUUCAAAUCCCACCCCUACAACUUAUUAGCUGUGUAACCUUAAUUUCCCCAAGCUUCAGCUUCUCCAUCUGCAAAGUGAGUAUGAUAAUAGUUUCUCUCCCACAGAAUUGUCAUUUGUAAAAAGAUGAUGAUAUAAAAUACUUAGGUACAAUGUGUGGCAAAUAGCAUGCAUAUCCUCAAUAAAGCAUAGCUAUUACCAUUACAUUACAGAUGCAUCUCAAAAUUCUGUUGGCCCUUUUGCUCAUUUGGAGUUCCUCAUCAGUAUAUCUGGAUCCUGGUUUGCCAUAUCCUAAUUGUCUCUUCUAUGUUAUUUCUGUGUAUCAAAAACUGUCAUAAUUAUAUUGCAUAAGCUUUGCCUUUUUGAGGGUGAUUUUUGCAAGAUAUAGCUUUAGGUACACAAAACAAAUUUUAAUUCACACAUUAAAUGGCUAACUGCUCAAAUGCUGCCUACUUAUUAAGGUGUUAUGAAUGUAGUGAAUUAAUUGUCAAAUUGCUUUAGCAUUUCUUAUAUAAGUGCUAACAAUAGUAAUUCACUUCUUUUAUUGUGGAAUUCAUUUUUUCCCCUGUAUACAUAUAGUGAUCAGUUCCAUUUGCCUGUUUUCAUAGUGGGACCUCAGGGUGGCUGGAGUAACCUGCUGAUGUAUAUUCUCACCUGCUCUUCUGCUGGCUCACUUUCUGUGACAGGUGUCAAGUUUGGAUAUUGCCUCGAAGCAGUUGUUUUAGGGCAGCCAAGGACAGAACCAGCACUGGACUGGACAGUCUUAAUUUGUCUUUUGUGUAAACAUUCAAAUAAACUAUCAGAACAGGGCCUUGGAUAUUUUCAGUACCUAUGCAAUCACUCCCAUGUAGUAUUGCCUUUCCCUUCGGCUGUCAUCACCUUCUCUGCCAUUCUUUUCAAGAAAUGGUAGCGUAUGGCCCUCAACAA